UACGAAGGGGGCUAGCGUUGCUCGGAAUUACUGGGCGUAAAGCGCACGUAGGCGGCUUUUUAAGUCAGAGGUGAAAUCCUGGAGCUCAACUCCAGAACUGCCUUUGAUACUGGAGAGCUUGAGUCCGGGAGAGGUGAGUGGAACUGCGAGUGUAGAGGUGAAAUUCGUAGAUAUUCGCAAGAACACCAGUGGCGAAGGCGGCUCACUGGCCCGGUACUGACGCUGAGGUGCGAAAGCGUGGGGAGCAAACAGG
rnacentral:rRNA from 1 species